UACGUAGGCAGCGAGCGUUGUUCGGAGUUACUGGGCGUAAAGCGUGCGUAGGCGGUGUCCCAAGUCUGUUGUGAAAUCUCCCGGCUUAACCGGGAGGGUGCGGCGGAAACUGGGAUGCUGGAGUGCCGGAGAGGUAAGCGGAAUUCCUGGUGUAGCGGUGAAAUGCGUAGAUAUCAGGAGGAACACCUGCGGUGUAGACGGCUUACUGGACGGUAACUGACGCUGAGGCACGAAAGCGUGGGUAGCAAACAGG
rnacentral:rRNA from 1 species